rnacentral:rRNA from 1 species
GACGAACGCUGGCGGCGUGCUUAACACAUGCGAGUCGAACGGAAAGGCCCUGCUUGCCGGGUACUCGAGUGGCGAACGGGUGAGUAACACGUGGGUGAUCUGCCCUGCACUUCGGGAUAAGCUUGGGAAACUGGGUCUAAUACCGGAUAGGAGCCAUCUUUAGUGUGGUGGUUGGAAAGUUUUUUCGGUGUAGGAUGAGCUCGCGGCCUAUCAGCUUGUUGGUGGGGUAAUGGCCUACCAAGGCGGCGACGGGUAGCCGGCCUGAGAGGGUGUACGGCCACAUUGGGACUGAGAUACGGCCCAGACUCCUACGGGAGGCAGCAGUGGGGAAUAUUGCACAAUGGGCGCAAGCCUGAUGCAGCGACGCCGCGUGGGGGAUGAAGGCCUUCGGGUUGUAAACUCCUUUCGCUAGGGACGAAGCCUUUUUGUGACGGUACCUAGAUAAGAAGCACCGGCUAACUACGUG